rnacentral:rRNA from 1 species
AACAUCGCUUUUAAGGGUUUGUGAAAAGUAUAACCUGCCCACUGAAAAUUUAAAGGGCCGCGGUAUUUUGACCGUGCAAAGGUAGCAUAAUCAUUAGUCUUUUAAUUAAAGGCUGGAAUGAAUGGUUGGACGAGGUGUUAGCUGUCUCAUUAAAAUCAAAUUUGAAUUUAACUUUUUAGUCAAAAGGCUAAAAUAUGGUUGGAGGACGAGAAGACCCUAUAGAUCUUUAUAUUAUACACUUUUAUUCUUUUUAGACAAAGCUUGAAUUAAAGGUGCAAAUAUUUCGUUGGGGUGACGAGAAGAUACUAAAACCUCUUCUUAAAAGUUCACAUUAAUUAAUGAAUAAA